AUGCACUUUUUACCCCGCAAAAAAAAAAAAACACGCACGCUACAUAUUACAAUGUUUAACAAAGCCCAUCAACAUCAUGCUCGACUCGUCGCUCAACCCCAAGCUCGGAGACUUCGGGUUGGCCCGGCCAUCGACCAUGGCGCCGGGUCAAUGCACACAACCAAGGCCGUGCUCAACACCAUCAGGUACAUCGACCCAGAGUUCAUCAACAGGCGCCGGCCUAGCACAAAGUCCGACAUGUACAGCUUCGGCGUCCUCCUCCUGAAGAUUGCCUCCGGUCGACGGCCGGUGAUCGAGACCGCGGAAAGGUCCUUCGCGCUGCUCAGCUGGGUGUGGGGCCUGUACGGGAGGGACGCCAUCGUUGAUGCGGCGGACGAGCGGUGGAUGGAGUGGGUGCUGGUCGUGGGGCUCUGGUGCGCACAGCCGGACCAGAGCGAGCGGCCGUCCGUGGCACAGGCCAUGCACGUCCAAAAGUCCGACGAGGCGAGGCUGCCGGCACUCCCGCUGCACAUGUAUAGAGCUGGACCGAGUUUGGUCGUCCGUCCCAUACGAGUUUUUCUCGGUCGAUAG
rnacentral:rRNA from 1 species